rnacentral:rRNA from 1 species
UUUGAUUCUGGCUCAGAUUGAACGCUGGCGGGAUGCUUACACAUGCAAGUCGAACGGCAGCACGGACUUCGGUCUGGUGGCGAGUGGCGAACGGGUGAGUAAUGUAUCGGAACGUGCCUAGUAGCGGGGGAUAACUACGCGAAAGCGUAGCUAAUACCGCAUACGCCCUUCGGGGAAAGCAGGGGACCUUCGGGCCUCGCACUAUUAGGGAAACGGCCGAUAUCGGAUAGCUAGUUGGUGGGGUAACGGCUCACCAAGGCGACGAUCCGUAGCUGGUUUUGAAGGACGACCAGCCACACUGGGACUGAGACACGGCCCAGACUCCUACGGGAGGCAGCAGUGGGGAAUUUUGGACAAUGGGGGAAACCCUGAUCCAGCCAUCCCGCGUGUGCGAUGAAGGCCUUCGGGUUGUAAAGCACUUUUGGCAGGGAAAGAAACGGCACGGGAUAAUACCCCGUGCAACUGACGACACCUGCAGAAUAAGCACCGGCUAACUACGUGCCAGCAGCCGCGGUAAUACGUAGGGUGCAAGCGUUAAUCGAUUACUGGGCGUAAAGCGUGCGCAGGCGGUUCCGGAAGAAAGAUGUGAAAUCCCAGAGCUUAACUUUGGAACUGCAUUUUUAACUACCGAGCUAGAGUGUGUCAGAGGGAGGUGGAAUUCCGCGUGUAGCAGUGAAAUGCGUAGAUAUGCGGAGGAACACCGAUGGCGAAGGCAGCCUCCUGGGAUAACACUGACGCUCAUGCACGAACGUGGGGAGCAAACAAGUUGAUACCCUGGUAGUCCACGCCCUAAACGAUGUCAACUAGCUGUUGGGGCCUUCGGGCCUUGGUAGCGCAGCUAACGCGUGAAGUUGACCGCCUGGGAAGUGAUUCGCAAGAUUAAAACUCAAAGGAAUUGACGGGGACCCGCACAAGCGGUGGAUGAUGUGGAUUAAUUCGAUGCAACGCGAAAAACCUUACCUACCCUUGACAUGUCUGGAAUCCCGAAGAGAUUUGGGAGUGCUCGCAAAGAGAACCGGAACACAGGUGCUGCAUGGCUGUCGUCAGCUCGUGUCGUGAGAUGUUGGGUUAAGUCCCGCAACGAGCGCAACCCUUGUCAUUAGUUGCUACGAAAGGGCACUCUAAUGAGACUGCCGGUGACAAACCGGAGGAAGGUGCUGGGGAUGACGUCAAGUCCUCAUGGCCCUUAUGGGUAGGGCUUCACACGUCAUACAAUGGUCGGGACAGAGGGUCGCCAACCCGCGAGGGGGGAGCCAAUCCCAGAAACCCGAUCGUAGUCCGGAUCGCAGUCUGCAACUCGACUGCGUGAAGUCGAAUCGCUAAUCGCGGAUCAGCAUGUCGCGGUGGGCCCGUUCCCGAAAAGGGUCUUGCUUUGCCGUACACCAUGGGAGUGGGUUUUACCAGAAGUAGUUAGCCUAACCGUAAGGAGGGCGAUUACCACGGUAGGAUUCAUGACUGGGGUGAAGUCGUAACAAGGUAA